CCUACGGGAGGCAGCAGUGAGGAAUAUUGGUCAAUGGACGAGAGUCCGAACCAGCCAAGUAGCGUGAAGGAUGACUGCCCUAUGGGUUGUAAACUUCUUUUAUAUGGGAAUAAAAUUUUCCACUUGUGGGAUUUUGUAUGUACCAUAUGAAUAAGGAUCGGCUAACUCCGUGCCGGCAGCCGCGGUAAUACGGAGGAUCCGAGCGUUAUCCGGAUUUAUUGGGUUUAAAGGGAACGUAGGUGGAUUGUUAAUUCAGUUGUGAAAGUUUGCGGCUCAACCGGAAAAUUGCAGUUGAUACUGGCAGUCUAGAGUACAGUAGAGGUGGGUGGAAUUCGUGGUGUAGCGGUGAAAUGCUUAGAGAUCACGAAGAACUCCGAUGGCGAAGGCAGCCCACUGGACUGCAACUGACACUGAGGCGCGAAAGUGUGGGGAUCAAACAGGAUUAGAUACCCGAGUAGUC
rnacentral:rRNA from 1 species